GUCAAGAACGUGGCCGAUUACUACCCGAGUACAAGCUGCUCUUCGAGGGUGCAGGUAGCAACCCUGGAGACAAGACGCUGGAGGACCGAUUCUUUGAGCACGAGUAAAGCUGAACAAGUUGGCCUUCCUGAACCAGUUCCACUUUGGUGUCUUCUAUGCCUUCGUGAAGCUCAAGGAGCAGGAGUGUCGCAACAUCGUGUGGAUCGCUGAAUGUAUCGCCCAGCGCCACCGCGCCAAAAUCGACAACUACAUCCCUAUCUUCUAGCGUCCUGGCCCAAGGCUCUCAAUUG
rnacentral:lncRNA from 1 species